GACGAACGCUGGCGGCGUGCUUAACACAUGCAAGUCGAACGGAAAGGCCUGCUUUCCCUUGUGGAUUGCGGGUACUCGAGUGGCGAACGGGUGAGUAACACGUGAGUGAUCUGCCCCCAACUUGGGUAUAAGCCUGGGAAACUGGUUCUAAUUCCCGAUAGGACUGCAGGGUUGUGCCUGUGGUGGAAAACGAUUUUCUAGUGGUUGGGGAUGAGCUCGCGGCCUAUCAGCUUGUUGGUGGGGUAAUGGCCUACCAAGGCGGGGACGGGUAGCCGGCCUGGGAGGGUGGACGGCAACAUUGGGACUGAGAUACGGCCCAGACUCCUACGGGAGGAAGCAGUGGGGAAUAUUGCACAAUGGGCGGAAGCCUGAUGAAGCGACGCCGCGUGGGGGAUGACGGCCUUCGGGUUGUAAACUCCUUUCGACCGCGAGGAAGCCACCUGGUUGGAAGGGUGGUGAAGGUAGUGUUAGAAGAAGCACCGGCUAACUACGUG
rnacentral:rRNA from 1 species